UACGUAGGUGGCAAGCGUUGUCCGGAUUUACUGGGCGUAAAGGGCGUGCAGGCGGUCUGUUAAGUGCAGGGUGAAAGCUCCCGGCUCAACUGGGAGAGGUCCUUGCAUACUGGCGGACUUGAGGGGGGUAGAGGAAAGUGGAAUUCCCGGUGUAGUGGUGAUAUGCGUAGAUAUCGGGAGGAACACCUGUGGCGAAGGCGGCUUUCUGGGCCCUGCCUGACGCUGAGACGCGAAAGCGUGGGGAGCGAACCGG
rnacentral:rRNA from 1 species